GAUUUGUUUUAGAGUUUAGUAUGUGUUUGAAGGCCUAAAAUGAUGUGCACUUUAGGAAUGUGUGUUGAAUAUAUGUGAUUCUGCGUCUUAAAAUUACCAUGGUUUUAAUAGAUAGCAUUUCAUUUCUCUGUUAAACAAAGGUGUUUGGGGUUCUAGCUCAACUUGAAGGUCCUGCAUUUAGGUGCUGCUAGGUUAAAAAGAAGA
rnacentral:misc_RNA from 1 species